rnacentral:rRNA from 1 species
UCCGUAGGUGGAUAAUUAAGUAAGGGGUGAAAGUCUGCAGCUCAACUGUAGAAUUGCCCUUGAUACUGGUUGUCUUGAGUCAUUAUGAAGUAGUUAGGAUAUGUAGUGUAGCGGUGAAAUGCAUAGAUAUUACAUAGAAUACCAAUUGCGAAGGCAGAUUACUAAUAAUGUACUGACACUGAUGGACGAAAGCGUGGGGAGCGAACAGGAUUAGAUACCCUGGUAGUCC